UCCUGUUCGAUCAACAAGGGGCCAAAGGGGGGAAAAACCCUAGCUCAAUCCAAUUCACAAGAUUAACUAAAGAAAUUCAAAGAAAUUGAAAGCAUAAUCAGGAAAUCUCAAGCUCCUAUCUUGUUUAUUGAAAGGGGCGUGAAGGGAGAGGGCUCGAGUGCUAAGAAAUCGGAAGGGGCACAGGAUCGAGGUAAGACUCCGCUACAGGCGACUUGGAGAUACGGAGCGAGCACAUGUUCAAGCCUUAUUAUAUCAAGCGCUUCCGCAAGUUCAUAUGCACGCUUUUGGGUCUAUGUCUUGUUACUUUGUCAAACCUUGUUAAAAGUUUAGAUUUGAAAACUUGUUGUUUUUGUUGGGGAUAUUUUAAUGUCAAAAGGGUCGUAUGUGAAUGUUA